UACAGAGGUCUCGAGCGUUGUUCGGAUUCAUUGGGCGUAAAGGGUGCGUAGGUGGCGCCGUAAGUCGGGUGUGAAAUUUCGGAGCUUAACUCCGAAACUGCAUUCGAUACUGCGGUGCUUGAGGACUGGAGAGGAGACUGGAAUUCAUGGUGUAGCAGUGAAAUGCGUAGAGAUCAUGAGGAAGACCAGUGGCGAAGGCGGGUCUCUGGACAGUUCCUGAUACUGAGGCACGAAGGCCAGGGGAGCAAACGGG
rnacentral:rRNA from 1 species